UACAGAGGUCUCAAGCGUUGUUCGGAUUCAUUGGGCGUAAAGGGUGCGUAGGUGGCGCUGUAAGUCGGGUGUGAAAUUUCGGAGCUUAACUCCGAGACUGCAUUCGAUACUGCGGUGCUUGAGGACUGGAGAGGAGACUGGAAUUCAUGGUGUAGCAGUGAAAUGCGUAGAGAUCAUGAGGAAGACCAGUGGCGAGGGCGGGUCUCUGGACAGUUCCUGACGCUGAGGCACGAAGGCCAGGGGAGCAAACGGG
rnacentral:rRNA from 1 species